rnacentral:rRNA from 1 species
AGGACGAACGCUGGCGGCGUGCUUAACACAUGCAAGUCGAGCGGGCGUAGCAAUACGUCAGCGGCAGACGGGUGAGUAACGCGUGGGAACGUACCUUUUGGUUCGGAACAACCCAGGGAAACUUGGGCUAAUACCGGAUAAGCCCUUACGGGGAAAGAUUUAUCGCCGAAAGAUCGGCCCGCGUCUGAUUAGCUAGUUGGUGAGGUAAUGGCUCACCAAGGCGACGAUCAGUAGCUGGUCUGAGAGGAUGAUCAGCCACAUUGGGACUGAGACACGGCCCAAACUCCUACGGGAGGCAGCAGUGGGGAAUAUUGGACAAUGGGCGCAAGCCUGAUCCAGCCAUGCCGCGUGAGUGAUGAAGGCCCUAGGGUUGUAAAGCUCUUUUGUGCGGGAAGAUAAUGACGGUACCGCAAGAAUAAGCCCCGGCUAACUUCGCGCCAGCAGCCGC